GGGGUUGUAACUCAGUGGUAGAGUGCUUGCCUAGCAUGUAUGAGGCACUGGGUUCAAUCCUCAGCACCACA
rnacentral:tRNA from 1 species